CAUUAUUCUUUAAUAAAUCUGUAGGGUAUUGUCCUACUUUUCUAAAGGGAUCUUUUCUAUCUUACUAGGUGAUCCUUUUUAUUUUUCCCAUAUGAUUAUUUACUAAGUGAUUUAUCAAUGGCUUUAGCAUGCUUGGAAGGUAUUAUAUUUUUCUAUUAAAGUGACAAUCUUGACACCAAUUAAAAUCAAACUGUUGGUUGUCACAUCAAAAACACCCUUCUAUGAUGCUCAUUGUUGAGGUUAAUUUACUUUGCAACUUAUUAUAUUUCACUCUAGUGGCUUAAUGUUAUGAAAAAUGAUAUGAAGAUAGGACUGGGAGAUUGUGUUAAUCUCUUGUUAAUGUUAAUUUUUCCAGAGAUCAUGUAAGAAGGCAACUCAGGAUCACAUAUCCUGUUGUACUUGUGAGUGAAACUGUUAAAAAUAUGCUACCAGAAUUGGCAGUUGUCUUUCAUCAUAAGUAGUUCGAGGUUUUGUGUACUCUCUCACAAAAUGGAGGUGCCUCUAGAAAAUAUAUUUCAAUCCUUUGAUUGAAAGGUUCUUUUCUUUUGUGCACCUAGUUUAUUGAGAAAAUAACAUUAAGCAUGUUGAGCUUUGGGUCCAACAUAUACUCGUACCUGUAUGUUUGUAAGUUAUCUUCCUUUCUUUCCUAUCGCUUGCAUAAUCUGUUAAAAGUUUAAAACUUAGUCUUUUGGUUAAGAAGAUCAAAAUAUCAGCACUCCCACCUCUCCGCAACCAUUUAUUUUUACAAAUAACCUACAUGAAGUUUGGUUGGGUUGGAUGUUGGGUUGAGUCAGGUAUUAUGUAUUGGUCCUGGGAUCGGGAUCUCGUUGCAGGUUUACUGAGGUUGAAAUAAGUAGGAUUAAGGUUUAGUGCUUAUUCGAAAGAAUCUUUGAUCUUUAGAGUUGGGUACUCUGGAAUCUUUUUGGAUGAAUUCUUCAUUGAUGUUUUUAUUGCUGAACUAGCCUACGUAUAUAAGGGAGAUACAACUUCUAUGUCCAUAAUUUUAAGGAUCUCAGCUGAUCCUGUUACAAGCUAAUUAACGUAAAUAACUCCCUGUUUCCCCUUAUUCCAAACUCGUAGCAUAAUUAACCCAUUAUCAUGAUUUUAAGCUUUCUUAAUUAGCCUAUUUAUUUAAAUAUUCUAUUCUUUUGCUGAUUUAGGAAUGGACGGGAUGAUAAGAUAAGCAUUGUUACGACAAGAAAACGAGAUAAAUCCUCGUUUUUUGUCGACUGGGCAACUUCUAGAAGGGUAUCCCUCUAUUCCAUUCCUUCGUAGGCUUAGGAAUGGCCGGGAUGAGAAAAGUUAACUCAAAUAAAGGCAUCACGUUUUCCCAUUGCUUCACAAGUUUAGGAAUGGACGUGAUGGUCAAAGACGCCGUGAGACGAAAUAAAACGAGACUACCACCUCCCCGUGAAUGUAGGUAACCUUUUACGCAAGUCCUUCCAAAAAGGGUAAGUUUUUGAGCCUGCUUACCCCAAGCAAUAAAGCCAUCAUGAAGUGGGGGAACAUUGUGUAAAAACCUUAACCAAAAAUAAAAAAUCCUAGCAAAAGAUAUCUAACUCUAACAAAAAAAUACCAUUUUGUUGCUUGAAAUGAAGUGAAGAAGUCUGCUUAUAGUGGGGGGCUGGGGAUUAGAUCACUGGUUGAGAUGAAUCAGGCCUUACAGGGGAAAUGACUAUGGAGAUUCAUGAUUGAGGAAGGGGCGCUCUGGAGAAGGAUCAUUGCUACAAAAUUUGGGGUUUAUGACAGUGGCUGGUUUGCAGGUGGGGUGUUGAGAUCCCAAUGGAGAAGACUAUGGAAGAAGAUUGGGGAUGGGAAAGAAAGAUUUCAAACCUGUAUCACAUGGAAGGUUGGGAAUGGAACAGAAUCGAAUUUUGGUUGGAUCCCUGGAUUGAUGGCGGUCCACUUAGUAGGACUCAUUUAUGGUAACUGCAAUUUCAGUUAGCAGCUUGGAUUUCUCUCUCAGUUCUAUGGAACUUUGAAACUGUGCUACAACUGCUGCUCCCUGGUUUGGACACAGAUGACACUUGCCAAAUGGAGAAAGAAGUUCAGGGUUUCUUUCCUUCGGCUUAUGCUUUUUUUUAAACUGGGUUUGAAGUUAUUUUACCUUAGGUGAUUAAAUUUGACUUAUUUUCCUUCGCAACUGGUUUUAGAUGCAGAAGGCCCUCUUGCUAAUGCUUCACCAAUACAUGUUCAGUUGAUGCGUGUUCUGUUAAAACCAGAUGAAGGCAGAUCCUGGAACAUCAAAGUCUCCCGAUACCCACAAGAUUGAGAGGUUGAGGAUUAUGUGAAUCUGUUGCAAACCCUUGCUUCCAUUCCUCUAAGCAACAGAGAGGAUAAACUGCUCUGGAACCUCUCGAAAAGCAGCUCAUUCAGUGUAAGCACUCUACAAUUUCUUGAGCAACUCCUCUCUCCAUUUUUGGUCUUUUUUGCUUGCGAAGCCAUGGAGUGUAUCCUCACUCUCGAUAACCUUAAGAGAAGGGGCAUCCAAUUAGCCAAUAGAUACUUCCUGUGCAAAAUCAACUGUGAAACAUGUAACCAUCUCUUGCUCUGGUUCCCGUUCACUGCCAAUCUUUGGUCUAUGGUUUUUGGGCUGCUCGGUAUCUCUUGGGCCUUGGCUGACUCUGUUUGUAAUGAAAUUCUCACUUGGAAAAUGCUAGUCAGCAGGAGAAGACAGCUCAGUUUAGUCCUUCUCACCAUCUUCUGGAUUAUUUGGAAAGAAAUGGAUUGUAGAGCUUUUGAGGGGAAAAAAUCUGAUUCUCUAUCAAGGGUGGUUCUAUGUAUUGAGUUCCAUAAUUGUGGGCACUCCCUUGAUAGUUUUGAUGAUUUUGGCUCCAUUGUAAAUAUUUUUAUUGAUAUGUAAAUCUUUGGUAUAUAGGCGGCGCUCUUUUGGCGAUUUCUUAUUAA